rnacentral:rRNA from 1 species
GUGCCAGCAGCCGCGGUAAUACGGAGGAUCCAAGCGUUAUUCGGAGUGACUGGGCGUAAAGAGUUGCGUAGGGGGUCUGUUAAGCAAAUAGUGAAAUCUUGUGGCUCAACCAUAAGGCUAUUAUUUGAACUGGCAGACUUGAGAAUAUGAGAGGUAGAUGGAAUUCCCAGUGUAGGAGUGAAAUCCGUAGAUAUUGGGAGGAACACCAAUGGCGUAGGCAGUCUACUGGCAUAUUUCUGACCCUGAGGCACGAAAGCGUGGGGAGCGAACCGGAUUAGAUACCCGGGUAGUCC